GUACUUUAGAGACAGUCGUAUACAAGCAUCGAAGCGAAUAGAACGAAUAAAAGAAGCAUUACAUGAUUACCGAUUAAAACAAGUAUUUUAUUUAGAGCAUCAAGGGAGGUUGUUACAUUGGCGACGAGAAUUGAAUCGUGUUUCAUCGCAGGCAUUGCAUCAGCAAAGUGGCGAAUUUUUGCAAGCCGUCAGCUAUUGGUAUAACAGGCAAGACAUAAUAGAUACACAUUAUUUUCAACACACCAGCGCGUGAAAAGCAAAGAACGAUUGAAUACAAUUACUUGCUGCUUCGUGGUGAAAAGUGGUAUAUGAGUGAAGCUGAGGCUCUUGCGAAAUUACACACAUCUACAUGCGUAUGUUAGUUAACUCGUUGCUAAGUCAAUAAUUUUAAUGUACCAGAACGAAGGAAGCAGUGCACAAAACGAAACGUCAAAGCUAUAAAUUAAGUUAAGGUGGCCAUUCAAUUGGUAGAGACACAUUCAUAUUAAACUGCUACUAAAGCAGCGCAUUAAAUUGGGCUUGUCGACUUAUUAAAGAUUUGUACCAUUUAAUUGGUAAAACACAUAAGCAUUAGAGUGCUACUAAGUGUGCACAUUUAAUUGUGCUUGCUGUCGGACCAUUCAAUUGGCUAAAGCGAAAAGCAAGGUAAAACUUUGGAAGACAGUUUGUUAUAUUUUCAAGCUAAAAUGACUGAGUUUAAGCCAUUCUUAUGCGACAACAUAGACAAAUCUCUAUUACGUAAUGAGUGGGAAAAAUGGUUCCGUUCCUUGUCUUUAUUAAUUCAGUCCGAAGAAAUAAGUGACGCUGUUAAACAAAGGAAUAAGCUGCUGCAUUUAGGAGGGCCCCAAUUACAAGAGGUUAUAUUUAACAUCCCCGGCGCUCUUGUAGAAGUCUACGAAGAAAACAAAAAUGAUGUGUUCAAUAUUUUGGUAGAAAAAUUUAACAAUUUCUUUUCACCCAAGCGUAACUCUACAUUUGAAAGGCAUUUAUUCAGGAGCCUCUGUCCAUCGGAAGGGGAAGAUUUUAAUAAGUUUUUGCUACGACUAAGACAUCAAGUGUCCAAAUGUGAUUUUGGAUCAACAAAGAACGA